rnacentral:rRNA from 1 species
CGUUAAGGGAUGGGCUUAGUUACUCUUAAUAGAUUAUGGUAAUUGAUUUAAGAGAUACCUGUUCAACUAGAUUACCGGGGUCAGCUCUGGGCCGGCGACUGGGGUG